GAUGAACGCUGGCGGCGUGCCUAAUACAUGCAAGUCGAACGAAGCCUUCGGGCUUAGUGGCGGACGGGUGAGUAACACGUUGGUACCUGCCUCGAAGUGGGGAAUAACUGGCCGAAAGGUCGGCUAAUACCGCAUGUGAUCGCAAGAUCAAAGUCGUAAGACGCUUCGAGAGGGGCCUGCGUCCCAUUAGCUAGUUGGUAGGGUAAUGGCCUACCAAGGCGACGAUGGGUAGCUGGAUCGAGAGGUUGACCAGCCACACUGGGACUGAGAUACGGCCCAGACGCCUACGGGAGGCAGCAGUAAGGAAUCUUCCACAAUGGACGAAAGUCUGAUGGAGCGACGCCGCGUGCAGGAUGACGGCCUUCGGGUUGUAAACUGCUUUUAUAUGGGAAGAUUAUGACGGUACCAUAUGAAUAAGGACCGGCUAACUACGUGCCAGCCGCCGCAGUAA
rnacentral:rRNA from 1 species